GAGAAUCUCUGCAUUUGGCCCUGCAGUUGAUUACUUUUUUUUCCGGUGACGGAGAUUAAGCGGUCCGCUGAGACCCUCGGCAAUUUUCAAGCGGUCCGUGCAAAACAAAGUUUGAGAGCCGGUGCGCUAGAGGGUUGGGACCAAAUCUGUGGGCACCUGGGCAGGUUGGAAAAAUGGGCAGACCAGAAUAGGAUGCAGUUGAACAAAGACAAGUGCAAAGUGCUGCACCUAGGGAGAAGGAAUCACCGGCACGCUUACAGGCUGCGGGAGGGCUUUCUCAGCAUCAGAGCAGCGGAAAGGGAUCUCGGAGUCAGCGUCGAUACCGAGAUGAGCGUGAGUUGUCAACGUGACAAAGCGAUUGGUAAAGCUAACUGCACUUUAUCAUGUGUUCGCAGGUGCAGGACAAACAGGUCCAGGGAGGUGAUGCUUACCCUCUACGCGACAUUGGUCGAGCUGCAGUUGGAGUACUCUGUCCGGUUUUGGACGCCACACUUCAAGAGGGAUGUGGACAACCUUGUGAGGGUUCAGAGGAGGGCAAAAGCUAGUCCUUGCGCUCCUGUCCUUGGAACCAGCUUAUCGGCGAGGAAGCGCAGCGUGACAUUCGGAACCAAAAGGCCCGGAGUAGAAGGGCCCCCGACAUCCGUCGCAUCUGCAACGGGUCCCUGCGUGAGCUACUGAGAAACGAGCGUUUGGGGUCCGCACCGGUCUCUCGGAAACAUCCGAGCCAGCCCUGGCAGCAGGUGCCUGCGCGUUCCUGCCUCGUACGCGGUCAGGGAACGCUACGCACCAGCAGUUGCCUCGGCUUCUGACCGGACGCACGCCGUUUGCUCGCAAGCAUCCAAAGCUAGCACCUCCAGCGGCUGCAGCUGUUGCUUCCCAACUACUAGGAGAGCCUUGCAAAAGCAAUGGCCUGCCCCUGGGCCAGGCUGAUACCAGUGGCUGAGACCCAGAGACUUGCUGUUGUACCUCCCGGUGUCUGGAUUAGGUGUCGAGCACUUGGAACUCUGGCAGCUUCAGCACAUAUUAACCUCUCGUCCUCCUGUGGCCAACACCACGGAGCCCGUGACCCUAAUGUUUCUGUCAGCCUCUGUCCCACCCUUCCCCUGAAGGCCUCCCGUGAAAUCCCUUGUCCCAUCACAGUCUGCAGGUUGGCUCCAGCGGUAUUUCCCAGCUGCACGUGGAGAGUUGCAAGGGAGUGUCAGCGAGGAGCUGCAGCGUGAAAGAAGUGGGACUUGGAAAUAUCCAAGGGACCACGGGUAACAGUUUGACGGGCGUCACGUAGACUCGUUUUGCUGAAACUUUGGGAACGGGACCGAACCCAUUUUCCUGUGCGCUUGGACCUGCAGAUGGCUGGGGCCCGUGUCCCUGGGGAAACUCCGAGUCUGGAAGGGAGGAACACUGCUCAUCUCUCUCCCUGCCUGCCUGGGAACGCUCCUUGCCUUGUGUUUGUUAGACUCUGCCAUUUAGACCUAUUUUAACUUGUAACAGGGUCACAAAACCAAAUGCCAGUUGCUGCUCGUAGCUGCCGUUUCCCAUCGUUCCAGAAAGCAGCUACUCGCUCUUGGUCUUGUCUGGUAUUAAAGUCUUGAGAAACAGAAUUUUAUUCCACUUUUUUUGGCCGUUCCUUGGGAUGUAAGUGUAGGCUCACAGCCUAUUCCUUGUAUGCCAGCUUACGCACGUGUCGUUCUUAAGUUAGGCUUCUGGCAGGUGUGUAGUCUGCAAUACUGAGCGUGGUCUGUCAGGCCCUGACCAUAUUUUCAGUUUACACCGAGGGGAAUCUGCCCAUAGCCUUCCUUCCCCUUUCUCAUCACCAUCUUCGUAACAUCCCUGCCUCUUUACUUGUCGCUCAUUUCAGGAGCUGUUGUGUGCCAGUGCUUCUGUUCCCUGGUGCUUUCCCCGGGUACCCACCCUGUCUCCUGUACGUGGUGGAGGACCGGUUUAAGGAGUUGCACGGAGGGCCUCACAGAAGUCCUGUGUGGUCACGGGUUUACAAUGAAGACUUGCAGCUGUGUGUUACUAUUUCUGGGGUGUGCCGUGUGUGAGGUGCAGCUGUCAGAGGAACGCUUUGGAGAUGUCGCUCACGCAGGGAAGCAAAAUUGUUCUGCUCCCCACUACUGAGCUUUAAAGGGUGAUACCUGUGAGACAUCACAUCCCCUGUCCAAACCUGAGCCAUCUGAGCAGGGGAAGUGGCAUGGGAGCGGGGGCCAAGAUACCUGGUUGACAGCCCAGACUGCAAGUUGAAGGCUGCAAUGGAAGCGCUCAGUGUGUGGCCUGUCAGAUUCCAACAAAAUCUGUCAAGUCUUACAUGUAGCUUAUCACAAGGAAACGAAAAAGAAAAGGACAUGAGCAGGGGCCCAUGUUAGAGUCUUAGUGCAUUGGUCAGCGAUUGGGGGUGAGGGGGUGCAUGUCCCUCCUUCACUGCUUGUGUGUUGACUGUCAUUGUUAAAGGACCAGGGUUGGGGGCGGGGGCAUUCUUGGCUGCUUGGCCAAGUGCCUGGGGGAAGAGCUAGGAGGGAGGGGGAGGUUCAGCAACCCCGGACUGGCCAGGUCUCCCCCUGCCUCCCACAGGGCUGCGCUACCUGCUACUGGCAGUGACUCUGCCUGGAGCAGUUGGCAGGCCCUUGUAAGCAGCCUGCACUGCUUGGGAGAUGUGGGCUGUGACACCUUGGUUUUCUGGACUGUGGUAAGAAAGCAAACAGCCUUGUAGUACAGGCUUCAGUUGUGGGACUGCACCCUGUUGUUGAGACCCCCCCCAGGGGCUUAUUUCUUGUAUGUCCAUGCAGGAUAGUUGGAGGGGUGGGGAAUGGAAGGAAGAGGCAUGGAUGAGACCUGCAUCUUCUGUUCAGCAAAUUUCUGUAAGUAAUGUUAGUACUACUAAUAUUAUCCCUGUUCUGAUUCUUACUAUUACUAUUAUUUGUUUUUCCAUAUACUUUGCCAACAAAGCACCUGGCAGGUCCAGUAAGAAAAGGAAGUUUCCAAACAGGUGACAGAAGGAAACCAAAUGAUUUAAGUAUGCAAGUGGUGGUGGUGGUGUUGGGAAGGUUCAGGAACCAUGGGGGAGGCAAGAUUUUUUGUUAUGUCUUUUGUGGCAACAACAGCACGGUUUGGACGGACAGAAGCAAGGUUUUAGGCAUCCCAGUCCCCUUUUUCAGUCCUGGUUCCUUCCCAGCAUCCUGAGGAAAGGUACUGUCAUACCCCAAAGGUUGCCUGUAUCUUACAGUUGGUCUGGUAAAACAGGGGUCAAAAAACCUAUGGCCUGUGGUUUGGAUCCAGCCUGUGAAGAAACUGGUUCUAGCCUGUAGCAGUUCAACCAAGGAGCAGCACACUCCCACGGUGACAGCAGCAGGGACAUCCCCAGCGGCCUGUUGCCACUGCGUUCAGUUUGUUCUUUGUGCUGCAGCAGAAGCAGCCUCCCCAGGGUCCCGGCCCCUGCCUCUUUCUUUUGAGUCCCUUCACAGCCUGUGGAGAUUGCCGGGGAGCAAGCUGUCACGUUGGCAACGGUGCACAACGGCAAAAGAACGGCCCUUCCCUGCAAGGAAAGAUUGCACCUAACUCCGAGCGAGCAGAGCAGAGCAGAGCAUGGACACAGAGCGAGAUGCUCAUCAGUAGGGUAGUCUGGCCUUGCCGUUGCUAGGAGUGCCCAAGUAGGGAGGUGUUGGAAUAAUUUCUCAGCUUUUUCCCUAGAUCGCUCUAAGAGGAGAGGGGAGCGCUAAGCACACUUGGGUUCGUGCACGCUCCCCAUCGUUUUCAGAAGCGGACGGCAGGAGAAAGUUUGCGGUCAGCGAUAGCAGCACAAGGCCGCGCAACCAGGCUGGGGAACGUGGGGCUCUUUCCUAAACCAGGAGUGGCAGGACUUGCACAGCUUUGCCAGGAUCCUGGCUGUUGUGGAGAGACUUUGGGUUGGAGAUGGAUGCAAAGAAGUGGAGGCGUGCCAUGGUGAUGGAGGAUAGAGCAGGAGGAGUAGCGUGAUGGAAGGUGGACUUACCUCAAGCGGGGGUGGUGUUUUGAGUGGGGGUGUCUGGGUGGGUUGGGAAGUCCCUGCUCUGGGUUGGUGUCCUGAGCUGCACGCUCCCAGGGCAGGGCUACUCAAGCGGAGGGCCAUGGCAUCCAGGAGUGCCUCUGAGAUGAGUGGUGUAUGGCUGGGCUGGCUUGGCCCAGAGUUGCUCUGAGUCUGUGCAAAGAUCUCCAGGUUGCGGUGGGACAGAGGAUUGGGUCUCUGCCUGGCUGUACCUGUUGCCACAUGCCUCCUUUCAGUGCUGGGAAUUGCAUUUAUGUCUCAUCUCUCUGGGUGUGUCACUGGUGUCUGUCUUUGUACUUCUGUUCUUAAAAAUCACUGCAGCACUUGUUACUUUGUUCUUCCCAGGACUGAAAGGAGGGUUGUGUUUGCAUGUAAAUUGAUCCCCUCACUUGGGAGGGGUGUAGCUGCAGCCCCCUGCGGUUUGUUAGUGGGGCCAGUCCAAGCUGCUGUUGUACCCCUGGUUGGGAGGGAGGGGAUGCUGUCCCGUUGGUGGUGUGAGACCUGCGCAUAGCGCUGCAAGUGUUAAUUUCUGUUGUUCAUUUUUGGCGGUGUGGACAUGUUUGGCAAGAUGACCAAAGUCUGGUCCUGAGUGGAGAAGAGCUGAGGAAGAGGUGAAGAGCCCUGGAGCUGGUAUGGCGUGGAAGGAGUUGGAGACGGCCUGAAGCCAUGCUCACGUGAUCACCUGGAGCGAGGUAUUUGCUUCUUGUGGGUUGCAGCUCUGGAUGGAGAGAUCCUGCAGUUGCAGGUGCCUGCAUCGUAUCUGGGAAUGGGAUAGCAAGCAUGAGGACUGAUGGCGCACAAGGACUGAAGGCGUAGCAUGAUGCCAGGUGUGGAGCCAUCUUCUGAAGGCUUGAGGGCUGUGGAGCAGACUCUGUGAAGAUGAAGUGAAGAGUCCCAGAGAUGGUGCAGGAGGAAACGGGCAGCCCUGUUGUGACUUCCUGAUUUGCGUGGUGUGAGGCCUCUUCCCCUGUGGCAUCACCUGGCUGGAGUCUGGGGUGGGUCUGAGCUGUCUUGCAACAGUGUGAUGCGUUUGUCUUCCUGCCUGACCACUUCUUCCACACUUGUUCUUUCAUGUUUCUUGGAGGUUUUGUGUGUAGCUUUGCAGGCGGUGCGUCUCCGCUCCCACUUCUUGCUGUGAGGAUGCCUGGAUAAGCAGCAGCAUGAUUGUGGCUGGGUGGCCUCAAUGUUGUGGGGGAGAGGAACAGAAGCGAGGCUUCUGCGGUGGUGGUAGAAGAUGGAGGAACUGGAUCCCGAAAGGUGGGCUGGGUUAAAGUGGGAGGCUGGGUUGCGUUUUCCCUGGUCGUGUUUGGGUGGGGAAGGAAACGCCUUGUGCGUAAUGGGGUCUGGAGCUCCGUGCUGUCUGGGAAGUGAUGCUGAAGCAGGGACUUGUGGCCCUUAGGGAUGCUGCAGAGCAGGGGGUGUAAGCCUGAAUUGGGUUUAGUUUGGUGGUGAGACCUGACUCCUUGUAAAGGCUGGAAAUUGUCCUUGAGUAUAUUAGGGGUUUCAGUGUUUGCCCCUGGCUUCUGGGUGCAGGUGACAGCAUUGGAUGUGCUGGGACAGAGGAGCGGGUGCGUGCGUGUCCGCCUCUGCCUGGCUGUUGCUGCUGCCAGUGGUCUUCCUUCAGUUCUGGGAAUUGCACUCUGUCCUAUGUCUCUGGGUGUGUCACUGGUGUUUCUUUCUACUUUGAUAUCUAAAAUCACAGCAGCACUUCUUCUUUCUUUCUUUGCUCUUCCCAGAGCUGGAAGGAUAGGUGUGUUUGCAACUGAAUUGAUCCCCUCAUUUGGGUGGGCUUUGACUGCACCCUGUGUGCCUCGCGUGCGAGUGGGGGUGUUAUGCUUUCGGUGUCCUAGGCUGCUGGGGGUGGGGGGCGUUGUCUCUGCUGUCAGUACUAUGAGACGUGAAUACUGUUGCGUGUAGUAAUUGCUUGUUGUUUUGGGUGUGAUGUUAAUAUGUCGAGCGUGAGUGGAGAAGAGCUGAGGCGAAGAGACCUAGAGCCAGCGCUAGGUAGAAGCGGGUGGAGGAAGCAGGUGGUUGUGCAGCCAUGCUCGCUUCUGGGUCACCUGGAGGGAGGCCUCUGCCUGUUCGGUGGACCUGUGUGCAUGAGCAGAGCCUGCAGAGGUCCCUGCUUCCCCUGUGUGGAGAGGAUGGCAAGGAGGGAGGAGAGUGCGCCGGAGGAAGAGGAGCGCGAUGCUAGGUCCCAUGAGUGCUGUCUCUUGGGGUGAGGCCCUUCUCACAGAUGGAUGGGUGCACCCUGGGCAGGCACGUCUUGGAGAGCUGGUCCUGACCUGUGCAGAGGGAAAUGACUGCCGGUUGAAGGAGUGAAGCUGAGCAGCGCCCACGGAGGGUGAAGCAGGAGGAACUCGAUGCCGCACGGCGUGUCGGUGCCGGAUGGGCAGUUCUGGCAAUUGGUUUCUGUUUUUCUCCAGCCCAGUCCUGGGUGUUGGGCAUUGACUAGGUAGGGUAGACGGCUGGAGAUCGAUCUGGAUGUUUCUGACUGGGUCCUGGUCCUUGGAGAGAAGUUUGAGCAGAGAAGGGUGGAAGAUGGAGGCAGAGAGGAUGGUGCAAGCAGGGGGUCUUUUUACCAAGACUUUUGGGGCAGGGAGGAGAAGUGGAGAUUGGGCAGAAGAAGAGAAGACAUCUUGAAGUCAUGAACCAUGGAGCUGCCUGUCAUUGGUGCAUGGAACAUGUGAUGGGUGCUUGUGCUGUAGCUCUGUCGUGAGGAGCAGGGCAGGGGCAGUGACAUGCUGAGGGCUGGAGAAGGAGCACCACAAAGAUGGCUGUGAGGCCUUGGUCAGGCGUGAAGUAUGUGAGCCAGGAGAGUCGUACAGCACACACGCAGGAUGGAGGGCAACAAGUCGAGCGGGGGGCUUCUUUGGCCAGGGCUGCUGUGAAAUCUGGCGUAGGGCUGGGCCGGCCGGUCCGAGUCUGUCGGACUCCACGUAUAGGAGAAACGACGGAUGUCUAAGGAGCUUGUGGGGCGUUUGAUCCGGGCUCAUCCCUGGCACUUGGGGUGCAGGCCUGGCCCCUCUCUGGGGUGUGUUGAGGUCAUCUGGCUGAGGCUCGAGGCUCCUAAGUGGGCAUCGGGAAGAAGAGGUGGAGAUAUAGCGCCUGUGACCUGAGGAAGCUGGUGAAAGAAACGGAUGUCGGCGCAUUCGCUUUGCGGUUGCCCGGUGUGAGACUUCUGCCCGUGCGGUGGCCCUGGGCUGGAAGCCUUGCUGCGUGAAGCCUGCGAUAGAUGUUGGAUUGCUGCUCCCUGUGUGGUGAGAAGGAUUGGCUGCAAUGACUGGAGGCCUGGAAAAGGAGCCGUGUGGCCAGGGUCCUGGCCUGCAUGGAGGGAAGUAGGUGAGAGGACUGCAUCGUGGAAGAGCCGUGGGACAGUGUUGGAUGACAGACACGGACCGGCCGGAUGUUGCCCGCUACGUUGGAAUGUCCCUUCUGUAUUGGGAUUCUGCCUUUGGGGUGUGGGGUGGGUUUGGGAGUGUCCUCAGCUUUAUGAUCCUGGAGCCAGGGGUUUGCAAGUAGUAUGUUUGGGUCAGUUUGUCUGUGCUGUGGGUGGACCUAGGGUGACCAGAGGUGAAAUCCAUUCCUGUGACCCUGUAGUUGGACGAGCACCCAGACACUUGCAGGAACCGCUGGGCAAGCAGGCCCAGAGCUUUCAACUGUUGAGCACGGCAAUGCUGGAGCCAGCUAGCAUGGAAGCAGAAGGGCCGGCCGGGCGCGGGGCCUGGGCUGCCUCUGUGGCUUCUGUGCUAGUGAGGUUGAGAAUUGCAGUGCUGGGGGGUUGGAGGUUUUGGACCUGCUUGUGCAGGGUUCUUGUUGGUGUUGGGGUGCUGGUUCUGCUGGGUCAGAGCAAUGGGUUUUAUUCUGCCUGACUGCCAUGUUUACCGUGUCCUACAGGGCUGGGAGCCUGUCGUAGCAGCGUGUGUUUGGCUGGGGCGGGGUGGUUGUCUGGUUUGGUCCCUGAGCAGUGUGGUGAGCAUGUUUGUUAUUACCCUGAAAUAAAAUAGUUUUCUGAUAGCCUACUGUUAGGCUAACAAUAAUUUAGAUUAUUAAGAAGUAUUAGCUUUGCAGUUGAAUACAAGGCAUGACCUGUGGCCUAGCAAUGCCGCUGACCACAAGGCAGAAUGAUAGCUAAGCCUUUGCUUAUGUUAAGUAAUCAUUUUAACUGUGUUGACUAUUUUCUGAGUAAAAUGCAGCAAGUGAAUCUGUCUGUGUGCUGUAAACCAGAUACAGCAAGGAACAAGGAGUCUCUCUAGUGUUUACACAGGUCAGCUGCUUUGGUUCAGCGGGUACCCCUGGACUGUAACCUUCACUCCUAUCAAUCAGGACGCUGAGUUUGGGUAAAACAACAUCGGCGAAAAACCGCCUCGGCCCAAGUCUGGGCAGGCCCGUACCAAGUUCUUCUUACUAUACACGCUGCUGUGAAAAUCGCCGAGAAAGAGGGCCGGAUUCAUCGCGGUCGCCUCAAACCUGGUAUCGGCAAGUAAUGACCGGUCAGCUGAUGUUCCGCCUCUAUGGCUAGAAAGAAUCGGAGAAUCGUGGACCGUUCAGACUCCUUAAUAGAAAUGAUACGUGUAUUAAGCUUGCUUUGUAUUAUCUUUCUUGUUAUACUUUGUGUUUGUAUUUCACUGUGGAUGCAGGGAAGGUUGUAAGUUAAUAAUGGCAUUUCACCGGGCUAUCCUAACAGGAUUAUUGCUCUUGAUGCAUAAAACACCAUGGCUAUUUAUGGGAAAGCGAUACAGAACAGGAAGACCAGUGGAAAGAUAAUACUUACCUGAUUUCCACUAUAGCUAUAGCACAGGCCCUAAAAUUUGUGUAAUGGUUGGAUAUGUGGUACACAGUCUCCUUCUACUAACUUUCCACCCUAUCCUUUAAUCUCUUGGGAAGGGAUUUUUUCUAAUCCAGAGUGGGUUGAUACGGAUAGAGCUGGAAUAAGUACCUGGCAGGACAAUUCUUAUUUUAAAGAGAGAGUACUUUCAGACAUCAUGUUAUCUGCCCAGGUGUGUUGGGAAAAUCCUCGUGGAAUAGGAAAAGAGAUUUUUAGGAUGGCAACCAGGUUGUAAACUAACCAUUAAUGCCACACACUUAAUUUGGCCUAACAAUACUGCAGUGGGGACUAAAGAAGCUGAAAAGAAAGGUUACAUCCCCUGGAAUGCGUCUGCUCCCUGCAGUUCCUUGCAGCGUCCUUAUGUAUGGCAAUGUAUGGAAGGUUCCAUCCGAUGCUCCGCCCCUUAUAAAACUUGGGCUUGGAGUCACGGCUGUUUCACGUCUUGCAUAUACAGCUCCUUUGCAAAGCCAAGUUGUUCGUAUGUUAACUAUACCAUUUACAGAGACGGUUCAGUACCUUGCCCCAGAGAUCGUCAUACUACCGCAUCAAUCAACUGGCACGUGCAUUAGAACUUAUUGCCAAUAGCACAGCAGAGGGCAUUGAAUUAGUGCAAGACCAGGCUUCUUGCAACCAUGCUAUGACUUUAGAAAAUCGCUUCGCUUUAGACUAUUUGUUAGCUAGAGAAGGAGGGGUAUGUGCUUUAAUCACAGGAGGACCCUGCUGCACCUAUAUUCCUGACCACUCUGACAACAUAACUGCUGCAGUAAAAACAAUUCGAGACACAGCACGACAGGUAAACUCUUUGCGAAGUUGGUCAGUAAUAGAACGGAUUGCCUCAACUUUAGGAAUGUGGGGAAGGUAUAUCUUAGAAUACAUUUUAUGGGGAUUAGGAAUCUUCUUGGUUAUUAUUGUAAUAAUUGCUGUAAUUACAGCCUGUGUAGUUUGAGUUAAGCAAAAAGUAAUUAAUCUCAAUAUUAUGCAAACCUGGGAAAUGGCUAGCAGGCCAUAGGCCUGUGGCUGUAAGGGGGGAUUGUUAGAAACUAUUGUUGGAAAAUCAGUGUGACCUUUGUAUCACCUUUGGGCAAUGCUAGCUGAUGCAACCUUGCAGUAAGAUUGCCAUGAUCUGUCAAUAUAGGCGGGCAAACAAGGUGAUUGGGCCCAACCAUGCGGGGUGAGCAAAGCCAAGCCAUCUUCGUGAUUUCCUCUGAGUUUUGCACAUGUGUUAUGAAGGAGCUUAUGUAACGAGAGUUUAUAAAGCUACAUGUUGAGUUGCAGUUGGGGUCUCUGUUCCCUUAUGCGGACAGGGGACCUUCGGCCCAAUAAACUGAAAAGACCACACCCUUGUCUGCUGCUUAUUGGAGUCUCAGCUGGGAAACGAGCCCUGUUUGGGUUAAGAGAGUCUGCAGGUGUUCCCUUACCAGCUUGGGAGUCUGGUCAGGCAAUUUCUCUCACAAUUAAUUUGUAGCUUUUAGAAAGUGCUAGUUCAGCGUAAUAGAAAUAUGCUGUUAUGAAGAUUCGUAAAGCACCGCCCAAGUAUUGCUUUUGGUUAACCCUUGUAGUGCGCAAGUUUGUUAUUACCCUGAAAUAGAAUAGUUUUCUGAUAGCAUACUGUUAGGUUAACAAUAAUUUGGAUUAUUAAGAAGUAUUAGCUUAACAUCUGAAUACAAGGCAUGACCUGUGGCCUAGCAAUGCAGCUGACCACAAGGCAGAAUGAUAGGUAGGCCUUUGCUUAUGUCAAGUAAUCAUUUUAACUACACCAAGCAUUUUCUGAGUUAAAAAGUGAAUCUGUGUCUGUGUGCUAAAAAAAAUCAGCUACAGCAAAAAGUAAGAUAAAACAGAGAAACCAUUGUUUGAGCUUACUGGUUGUGUCCUUGAAAAAUAUCUUCUACUGUAUAAGGUUUUGCUAACAUAAUGUUACUGUUACUUAACUUUUAGCUUUAAAAAGUGCUAGUUCAGCUUAAUAAAAAUAUGCUGUUACAAAGAUUUAUAGAA